ACAGAGGGGGCAAGCGUUAUUCGGAAUUAUUGGGCGUAAAGGGCGCGUAGGCGGUGUCUUAAGUGAGACGUGUAAUCCCCGAGCUUAACUUGGGAACUGCAUCUCAGACUGGGGCGCUAGAGUACUGGAGAGGGUAGAAGAAUUCCACGUGUAGCGGUAAAAUGCGGAGAGAUGUGGAGGAAUACCAGUGGCGAAGGCGGCCCCCUGGAAAGUAUCCGACGCUGAGGCGCGAAGCUGUGGGGAGCAAACAG
rnacentral:rRNA from 1 species